rnacentral:misc_RNA from 1 species
GAUGAAGAACGUAGCGAAAUGCGAUACGUAAUGUGAAUUGCAGAUUUCAGUGAAUCAUCGAGUCUUUGAACGCACAUUGCGCCCCCUGGUAUUCCGGGGGGCAUGCCUGUCCGAGCGUCAUUGCUGCCCUCAAGCACGGCUUGUGUGUUGGGCCUCCGUCCUCCUCCCGGGGGACGGGCCCGAAAGGCAGCGGCGGCACCGCGUCCGGUCCUCGAGCGUAUGGGGCUUCGUCACCCGCUCUUGUAGGCCCGGCCGGCGCUUGCCGACACAUCAAUCUUUUUUCCAGGUUGACCUCGGAUCAGGUAGGGAUACCCGCUGAACUUAAGCAUAUCAAUAAGCGGAGGA